UCCAUCGUGAGGUGGAAUCUGAAGGAAGCGUAAGACAAACCUCGGACUUGACGAACAGAAAUCGGAUAGAAGGCCCUGGGCAGCGGGGUAACCCAGCAAUGGAUGGGGAGGCCCAAUAGUCGUCCGGAACGCUGCGGGGGUAGAUCCGGCGAGCACCGAGGGAAAGAGGGAUGA
rfam:Microbial mat metagenome hsmat08_BHWT5240_y1, whole genome shotgun sequence.